rnacentral:rRNA from 2 species
UCGAACGAUGAUGCCAGCUUGCUGGUGGAUUAGUGGCGAACGGGUGAGUAACACGUGAGUAACCUGCCCUUAACUCUGGGAUAAGCCUGGGAAACUGGGUCUAAUACCGGAUAUGACUCCUCAUCGCAUGGUGGGGGGUGGAAAGCUUUUUGUGGUUUUGGAUGGACUCGCGGCCUAUCAGCUUGUUGGUGAGGUAAUGGCUUACCAAGGCGACGACGGGUAGCCGGCCUGAGAGGGUGACCGGCCACACUGGGACUGAGACACGGCCCAGACUCCUACGGGAGGCAGCAGUGGGGAAUAUUGCACAAUGGGCGCAAGCCUGAUGCAGCGACGCCGCGUGAGGGAUGACGGCCUUCGGGUUGUAAACCUCUUUCAGUAGGGAAGAAGCGAAAGUGACGGUACCUGCAGAAGAAGCGCCGGCUAACUACGUGCCAGCAGCCGCGGUAAUACGUAGGGCGCAAGCGUUAUCCGGAAUUAUUGGGCGUAAAGAGCUCGUAGGCGGUUUGUCGCGUCUGCCGUGAAAGUCCGGGGCUCAACUCCGGAUCUGCGGUGGGUACGGGCAGACUAGAGUGAUGUAGGGGAGACUGGAAUUCCUGGUGUAGCGGUGAAAUGCGCAGAUAUCAGGAGGAACACCGAUGGCGAAGGCAGGUCUCUGGGCAUUAACUGACGCUGAGGAGCGAAAGCAUGGGGAGCGAACAGGAUUAGAUACCCUGGUAGUCCAUGCCGUAAACGUUGGGCACUAGUGUGGGGGACAUUCCACGUUUUCCGCGCCGUAGCUAACGCAUUAAGUGCCCCGCCUGGGGAGUACGGCCGCAAGGCUAAAACUCAAGGAAUUGACGGGGGCCCGCACAAGCGGCGGAGCAUGCGGAUUAAUUCGAUGCACGCGAGAACCUUACCACGCUUGACAUGACCGGAAAGACCUGGAAAC